rnacentral:lncRNA from 1 species
UUUUUUUUUUUUUUUUGAGACAGAGUCUCAUUCUGUUGCCCAUGCUGGAAUGCAGUGGCCCAGUCUUGGCUCACUACAACCUCCAUUGCCUCCCGAGUAGCUGGGAUUAUAGGCAUGUGCCUGUAAUCCCAGGCACAUGCCACUACAUCGGCUAAUUUUUAUAUUUUUAGUAGAGACAGUUUCACCACCAUGUUGGCCAGACUAGUCUUGAACUCCUGACCUCAAGUGAUCUGCCCACCUCGGCCUCCCAAAGUGCUGAGAUUACAAGCUUGAGCCAUCAAACCCAGUCUAGAAUUUUUUUUGGUUUGAAAAUAUUUCAAAUAUUGGCUUAGUCAUUUGCUAACAUUUUAGGAUAUAGGUAAUUGAAUUUGUACUGUACCAAUUAAUUUACAGUGUGUUUCAGCUUUGAGUGUUUACCCUUUUAAAUCAUAGACUGUUAGUCAUAGUUGUCUUUAAAACUGCUUAAUAAAUGUAAAUAUAACUCUUGACAUUUUUAAACAUAAAGGGAUUCUUCCCAGAUUAAAAUUGUUCCUAAUAUUAUUACUUUGUUUUUUGGAAGAGUAGAUAGUGCUCGUAUCUUACGUGGUACUGCACAAGUAGAGACCAGCUAACCUUAGGAUUCAGUAACCCAAAAGUUAAAUUCCAGACCCAAGAUUGUGUUGACUAGAAAUUUAUUUCUAAAUGUUUUUAAGAAAAAGCAAAGUUACUGGAGACUUUGAUAUUUGUACCUUUUGUUCUUUUUUUCCAAUGUCUUCUGGCAGUGUUAGGAAAAGGUGACCCUGUGUAAAUCAGAAAAUUGUAGUUGCUAGCUAGAUCAAGUAAAGCAUAAUCUUUGUCUCUGAAGACCACCAUUUGUUUCACCAUGGGUGCUGGUUUAGGUCCCAGACACCAGGUCGUAAUAUUAGAAUGGGAUGACUACAUGAAUCCUUAUUUGGAUCAAAGUACUGGUUUAUCUUGGGGUAAUUGAUUUUAAAUCACUCUAGCAAAUCUGCUACCUUACCUCACCAUAGAAUGGGCUGAAUCUAAUAAUUGUUGUAUCAUAUUCUGAAUAAAGUAAAUCUGAUUUAGAAUCUA